rnacentral:rRNA from 1 species
GAUGAACGCUGGCGGCGUGCCUAAUACAUGCAAGUCGAGCGAACAGACGAGGAGCUUGCUCCUCUGACGUUAGCGGUGGACGGGUGAGUAACACGUGGAUAACCUACCUAUAAGACUGGGAUAACUUCGGGAAACCGGAGCUAAUACCGGAUAACAUGUUGAACCGCAUGGUUCAACAGUGAAAGACGGUCUUGCUGUCACUUAUAGAUGGAUCCGCGCCGCAUUAGCUAGUUGGUAAGGUAACGGCUUACCAAGGCAACGAUGCGUAGCCGACCUGAGAGGGUGAUCGGCCACACUGGAACUGAGACACGGUCCAGACUCCUACAGGAGGCAGCAGUAGGGAAUCUUCCGCAAUGGGCGAAAGCCUGACGGAGCAACGCCGCGUGAGUGAAGAAGGUCUUCGGAUCGUAAAACUCUGUUAUUAGGGAAGAACAAAUGUGUAAGUAACUAUGCACGUCUUGACGGUACCUAAUCAGAAAGCCACGGCUAACUACGUG